AGUCUCUCAGCCCUGGCAGCCAGUGAAGUUUCCUGUUAAGAUGAAUGACAGAGCUCAGAGGUGAUUUGUACUCCCUGAGUCUCCAGGAACCUUUGUAAGAACAAAGUUUGUCUGAGCCCAGCACUUAACACCCUACAGAGCAGGGGUGAGGUGAAGGAGCCCAGCACUUAACACCCUACAGAGCAGGGGUGAGGUGAAGCACAAGGCCAGGAGCCAUGAAGAGGAGCCUAGGAACUCUGCUGGGGCUUCUGUGGAUCCAGGUUUGCUGGGUGAGAGGGCUGGAGGUGGAGCAGAGUCCUUCAGCCCUGAGUGUCCAGGAGGGAGCCAGCCCCACUCUGCGGUGUAAUUUUUCUGAAACUGUGAACAAUGUGCAGUGGUUCCGACAGAAUCCCGGGAGCGGCCUCAUCCUUCUGUUCUUCAUAGCUUCAGGGACAAAGGAGAAUGGAAGGUUGACGUCAACCAUGAAUUCCCGGGAGCGCUACAGCACCCUCCACAUCGCAGCCUCCCAGCUGGCUGACUCAGGCACCUACCUCUGUGCUGCAAGGCACAGUGCUCCCAGGUCACCUGCUGCCUGCACCCAAACUGCAGCUGAGCUUGUAACCCCACCCCUCUCUGAGAGGCACGUGUCUUCUACAGCAGUAUUUGCACUGCUUGGUGUUUCCUGCUCGAGGUUGGAGCACGUUCACCUCUGGACGGUGACUACUAUGAACAGUCUUAGAUCCUAG